rnacentral:sRNA from 1 species
GCAAAAUUAGUGGGUCAUACAAAGCUGGCUGCUCACCAGGCAAAAUAGUUUUUGUAUAAGAGUUGAUAGCCAGGCCUGCUACCGUGAUUUUGCAUGGUUGAGUUAUUAGUUAUUUAUUGGUAACGUAUGAACCCCAUUUUAAUGAAUAGUUUCCAGCAGAAACUGGGCUAUAAUUUUCAUC